CAGAGGUUGCACAGGGACCAUUUUGGCCACACAGCAGAGAGAGCACGGGAGCCUGCCUUCUCUAACUGGAGCUGGUAGGAGAAGAAGCGCCUCCUAGAGCUGAUGGGACAGCUGGUGAACCCUGCUUCAAGUGCGACCUGAGCCUGGGGAUCAGGGUGAGCUGAGUGUGGCAGACCGUUAACCGCCAUCAGGCUGAGCGGGAGUUGGAAAGUGUUGGAAUGCAACGGACAUGGGAACCCUUGGGUACCCUCAAUGGCGAUCAGGAGCAUUGGAUAGGACCCAGUGGCAAUGAACUGCAGGAAAAUCAAAGGAGUUUGAAGACCAAGUGUGCAGGAGGAAGGGAACAGACACUUGGGUUUUUAAUGAAAUUCAGAGACCUUGGAAGACUGUUUGGGUCAGAAUCCAAGAAUCUUAGGAGAGAGGACCCCAGUGACUACAGGGGACGAGUUCAGAUCCUUUCCGACUGCUUAAGUCAGUUUCUUCUUCUGAUGACUGGGACCGCACGCAGAUUCCCUCAGAAGCACUCAGAAUAUGUCUGUCUGCACAUGUGUGGUGCGACUAGAAAUCCUGGGCCAGGUACACGGUCCCUGGAGGACAGCAGCCAGGAUUCCUAUUGUGAGAAAUGGUUGCUGGCCUGGCUUACAGAUGCUGUUAGAGAGAAAAUGCCUCCAAGAGAACUCCUCUCAGCUUUCAGGUUCUCUCCCAGGGGUGAGAGAUGACCCCAGAAGAUGCCUGACCCCGAGUCCUGACUCUUACGGAAACGACAGGCUCAACCCCCAUUUCCUUUCCAGGAGGCCAUCUGUGAAAGAAGUUUCUGUUAUAGGUGCUGUGCCCAGAAUUCAAAUUCCCUCAGAGGACAUGAAGAUGCCCAUAGAGGGUUCUCAACCUAGAAAGCUCCUUUACUCAGAGACCCAACCCUGAGAGUAGAGAAAACUCUGUCUAGUUUUUGAUUCCCUCAAAGACAUGGAGUCACCCUCGGGGUAAAUCUGGUGGGCAAACAGAAUUGAGUGGCAGACCAAAGGGACAGGACACCCUUCUAGGGACAGGACACCCUUCUACGGAAAUGCUUUAAGCGAUUCUGGUGACCAGAGUGUAUGGUCAAAUAUGAUCACUGCUUCCCAGAGAGGAGGCCAUGUCACUGUACACAGAUGUUUUCACAGGACAGAUUUGUUACAGGAUGCCAGGCAAUAACCAGAUUACCUUACAUGGGGGUACAGAACCACUCAAAGCUUGUCUCAGCUGUCAUUACGUCUGGCCAUGAAGAAUCCUUACAUAUCUGGUAUGAAGAUCCUUCUGUUUCUGGUCAUGAAUAUUCCUUCUUUGUACAGUCAACCCAGGGUGUGAACUUCAUAGGAUGAUUUUAUGUGUUUGUAUCUAUAAGUACUUUCUGGAGUAAUGUCCAGAAGGCUCUGCUUCCUGGAGUCAUCAAUGAGGCCCACUGUUGACCACCCUUCUGUGGCCAGAAAAUGAAGGCAUGACCUCUCAGCGGGGAGCCUGAGAGAGGAUCCAAGGAAGGAAGGGCUUCCUGAGUGCCAGACCUCCUGCUAUGCAGCUACUGACCUCUGCUUGAAGACUUCUCUCCUCUUCCCAUCUCUGUGGUUCAUGCCAUAGUCACUCAGAGUGACCUAGCACCACGUGGUCUUACCACUCACGUAUGUAGGCAGUGUGGGCUUUGUUCCUGGAGUCCAGGGUAGCUGUAGUUAUCAAGGUCAUCAGCCUCCAAACACAAGCAGCUGUCCUUUCGUCCAGUGCAGAAGCGUAACCACUUCCUGUUUUCCUCCUCCAGAAGCCAGAGAACUUCAUGGUGGAUGCCCAACUUCCCAGGACCCCUUCAUCCCUGUGUGCUGAGUACACACCUACACAUGACUGGUCCAGACAGCAGACUCUGUAAUGAUGUUUGAAAAAACGGAAACUUGUUCAGAUAGUGACUGUUCUUGUGUGUCAAAACCCUGGGAGAACACUGGGCAUGGUCGUGGGUUCCCUCAGAAUGCAAGGCCCAGCUGUGUAUAUCACCAUGUGACACUGGGUGUGGCGGGUCAGUUCCUGAGAAGCAAGUACAGUCCAGGCCCUCAGGAUGCUCAACUUAGUUUCCAAAGUCCCUCAGAAAACACAUAAACUCCCCCAGCGCCCACAGUGAAUGCCAAUACUUGCAAAACCAUUACUCUGGGUAAUUCCAGAGGAGAUAUGUGUCAGGAUUCCUGUUAGGAACACCCAGGAAGCACUGCCUGCCAGCAUAGCCUAUUCCUCAGGGACCCCAGGCAUGGCCCGUGGAGUCAUUCCGCCAACACUCCUGACACAGAGUGAGGACUGCCAGAGGACAUCCCGCUCUGAUCGUCCCAGUGGUGGCACGGCUGUGGGCUUACCACAGAGGACACUCUGCCCUGCUUUUGGGUCCCCUCAGGAAUGCAUGCCCUCUUAGGGGAAGCCUGUCAGAAGAGCAAAAUCCCCUUCAAGGGACACUUGUCUCUAUUGCCACAAUGCCCAUCAUCAUCUGCCCAUGGCAGGAGCCCAAGGGCAUCUUGGUACAUCUCUUCCCUCCUGUGAGAGCAAAUUUUUAUACCAGGGUUCCAUAUCCCCUUAAAUGAAAACAGGGAUGUCUCUCCUAAUGAAAUUAUUUUGAACCUUAGUGUUAAUCAGAAUUUAAACAGUCACAUGUUAAAAUUAUCUUCAAUUGGAUAACGGAUUGAACUUUAUCCAGAGGGAUCUUAAAAAAGAUAUCAACACCUUUCUGAAGGAGAAGCCAUAUACUCUGAAUCAAUUUUUAUGACAUUCAAGAUGCAAUUUCUUUUAAGAUAUCAGAGAUAACCUCGCUGGUAGAAUCUUGAAUGGAAUAGAAGUGAAUAUACCAAGUUCAUAAUUGCUCAUCUGUGUAGAAUUGUCCAGUUACAAUUAGACAGAAGGUUCUUGGAAGAUGAACCAGGCAACACUGCUCUAUGGAGAGGGCAAGCAGGAAGUGUCUUGCUCUGCUGAGGGCUUACCAGGGGAGAUCUGAGUCAAAAGCUGGAGCUAGCUCCCAAAACUAAUAUUAUUUCCUGCAAUGACUUUUCUUUUUACAAAAAUUCUUUUGAAAAGGCACUUGAAGGAAACAGACGGUGUACUUGUCACAGAUUCAGGUGUUGUCACAUGUAUGUGUCAUGACUUCACAGAAGAAAGUCACACCUGACAUCACUUCCUCAUGGAGAUCAGAAUUUGACAGGGAUGGUACUCUAAAGUGUUUUCAGCCAGAGAACACCUGAGCUUCUAAACACGGGUGAUCCGUCCUGUGCGUGCCUCGUGGAGCUCUAGAGCUGUGUUCUAGCAGUGUGGAGUCUAUCACUAGUUCACGGCCCACAGACACCAAGGUCGAGUAUUGUCACCACUGCAGUCUUGAAUGUGGGUUCAACACAGUCUCUUCCUCACCAUUGGCAGAGUCUGUGCCACUGUGAAAAGAAAGGGAUUGUCCAUUGGAGGAGCUCAGUGUGAGCCUCCCUGGGAAUCACCAUUACACGCUGUUUGCAGCAGCAUCCACACAUCUGUCUUUCGCCGUUUUGGCCAGACCAUGAGAUUGACAGGGAAGAGAUUGCUGAUUCAGGGAAUUGACGGUAAACAUCCUGGGAUCCACCAAUUGGUUAUUUUAAGAUGAGAUGCUUCAGGUUUCGAAACAUUUCUAAACAGAUGGCUACAGACUACCUUUGUCGGAGUUGUGGAAGGGCUUCAGAGUUGUGUGAAAUGUUGCAGUUGUUGGCUAAUAGGAAUGUCAUAAGCUCCAUGUGUCCAUGAAAGCAGAUCAAUGAAUUGAAUUCUAUGGACAUGAACAGGACUUUGUAAUUAGAGAGCAGUCAACAUACAGUUACUCUUGUAAUUGAAAACAGGUAAAUGUAUGAUCUCUGUCUUCUAUACAAGUAUGUGAUUUCCUUCUGAGGAAAAGCAGCAUUUAUUCAGUUGCUGAAUUUCCCUCCCCAGACAGUCCAUAUCUUUGAAAUUUUUCACUGUUUAAAUUUCAGGCUCUGGAGAGAACAGACCCGGGUUCUAUAAAUGGGUGUCACUGAAAUAUUUUCAUGCCCAGCUUCCAUAGGGUCCUGUUCCCCAUCAGAAACCUGCUGAGAUGAUCAGUCACUACUGUCUGUGUCUGCUAGAACCUUGGCCUUCUGCAGACCCCGGAUUGACUGAUCAAGGUCUGCUCAGACCCGUCUAGAGCAUUUCUAGCCUCCAUCUCUAAAUGGUAUAUUUCUUUCCCAAGCAGGCUUUGUGGACUACGUGCUUGGUUUUCUCCCACCAAGUGUCCAUGCCUCAGUGCCAGUGUCCUCUUCCUCCAGUCACGUGUUACAGAAUCCCAAACAGGAUUACUGAAAGGGGAAUGGAUUAUUCUGGCUCACAGUUCUUGGGCACACUCUGCCAUGACAGCAGGACUGACGGGGAAGUUCACAGUUGUGCCAUGGGAUUCAAAGCUGCCUCAUAGCUACAGUGCUGCGAUAGAAUUGGCAACUGGUUAUAUCCCUCACACCUUUCCCCACUGCCUUCCCCCUCUAGCACCUCCUAAAGGCUCUAUAGCCUCCAAAGCAGAGCCAGGAUCAAAUAUUCAAAUCCAUAACCUGUGGUGAGAAUUUCGCACUCAAAGCAUGGCAGGUUUUAACGUCAGGAUUUAGAAAAGGACCCUGUGUUCCAGGUUGGGAAGAGUUCCUGACAUCCUUAUAACCGUGCUUCUCAGGAACGACAGAUGCCACACAUCUGACUAGGAAAGGAGGGGGAGGUAAGUGGAUGAGAAGCAUCCUGGAAAUGGCAGGCAAGAAUACUAAGGAGUGGAAGAAAGGACUCGCUUCCAUUGUGGAGAAGCCACAGCAGAGUCCUAGGGAUGCAAUCAUCACAUGAGCUCUGGUGAGCUGUCUACACCAGAAGUGAGAAUGUUUAAAAUGUCUGUAGAAUAGAUUCAUGGAAAGGCCCAUGAUUCAUUUCAAAGAUUGGGAUUACAGUGGGGAGGGCAUGUCCUGAUUUGAUCUCAUCAACCACCUUAGUAUAUGAAGGUGAGAAACCCUCACUAGUCACUUUUAUGCAUAUGCUAACUCUUUUGUUAAGAGUUAAAAUGUGUUUUAUACAUAUGUGCAUGUUGAUAUGUGUAUACAACAUGCCUGUGUCUUUAACACUCAAUAUUUGUGUUCAAAACAGUAUUAAAAAUUACUUGAAAUUUGA